rnacentral:rRNA from 1 species
UACGUAGGGAGCAAGCGUUGUCCGGAAUCAUUGGGCGUAAAGCGCGCGUAGGCGGCCCGAUAAGUCCGCUGUAAAAGUCAACGGCUCAACUGUUGAAAGCCGGUGGAUACUGUCGGGCUAGAGUACGGAAGAGGCGAGUGGAAUUCCUGGUGUAGCGGUGGAAUGCGCAGAUAUCAGGAGGAACACCAAUAGCGAAGGCAGCUCGCUGGGACGUUACUGACACUGAGGCGCGAAAGCGUGGGGAGCGAACAGG